rnacentral:rRNA from 1 species
ACACGACUACAUUAGAUACCCGGGUAGUCCUAGCCGUAAACGAUACUCGCUAGGUGUCGGCCACGGUGCGACCGUUGUCGGUGCCGUAGGAAAGCCGUGAAGCGAGCCACCUGGGAAGUACGGCCGCAAGGCUGAAACUUAAAGGGAAUUGGCGGGGGAGCACAACAACGGGUGGAGCUUGCGGUUUAAUUGGAUUCAACGCCGGAAAUCUUACCGGGACCGACAGCAACAUGAAGGCCAAGCUGAAGACUUGCCGGAUUAGCUG